rnacentral:rRNA from 1 species
UUGGAGGGCAAGUCUGGUGCCAGCAGCCGCGGUAAUUCCAGCUCCAAUAGCGUAUAUUAAAGUUGUUGCAGUUAAAAAGCUCGUAGUUGAAUUUCGGGGUUAGUAGGUUGGUCAUGCCUCUGGUAUGUACUGGUCUCACUGAUUCCUCCUUCCUUAUGAACCGUAAUGCCAUUAAUUUGGUGUUGCGGGGAAUUUGGACUGUUACUUUGAAAAAAUUAGAGUGUUUAAAGCAAGCUAACGCUUGAAUACAUUAGCAUGGAAUAAUGAAAUAGGACGUUCGAUCUUAUUUUGUUGGUUUCUAGGAUUGACGUAAUGAUUAAUAGGGAUAGUUGGGGCAUUAGUAUUCAAUUGUCAGAGGUGAAAUUCUUGGAUUUAUUGAAGACUAACUACUGCGAAAGCAUUUGCCAAGGAUGUUUUCAUUAAUCAAGAACGAAAGUUAGGGGAUCGAAGACGAUCAGAUACCGUCGUAGUCUUAACCAUAAACUAUGCCGACUAGGGAUCGGAUGAUGUUAAUUUUUUAAUGACUCAUUCGGCGCCUUACGGGAAAC